GCCGACGUAGCUCAGUCGGUAGAGCGCGUCCUUGGUAAGGACGAGGUCACGGGUUCGAGUCCCGUCGUCGGCUCCA
rnacentral:tRNA from 1 species